rnacentral:tRNA from 1 species
UGCCGAAGUGGCGGAACUAGGCAGACGCGCACGAUUCAAAAUCGUGUGGGCUUACGCUCAUGUGGGUUCGAUUCCCUCCUUCGGCAU